GAUGAACGCUGGCGGCGUGCCUAAUACAUGCAAGUCGAGCGAACGGACGAUAAGCUUGCUUCUCUGAUGUUAGCGGCGGACGGGUGAGUAACACGUGGAUAACCUACCUAUAAGACUGGGAUAACUUCGGGAAACCGUAGCUAAUACCGGAUAAUAUUUUCAACCGCAUGGUUCAAAAGUGAAAGACGGUCUUGCUGUCACUUAUAGAUGGAUCCGCGCUGCAUUAGCUAGUUGGUAAGGUAACGGCUUACCAAGGCAACGAUGCAUAGCCGACCUGAGAGGGUGAUCGGCCACACUGGAACUGAGACACGGUCCAGACUCCUACGGGAGGCAGCAGUAGGGAAUCUUGCGCAAUGGGCGAAAGCCUGACGGAGCAACGCCGCGUGAGUGAUGAAGGUCUUCGGAUCGUAAAACUCUGUUAUUAGGGAAGAACAUAUGUGGAAGUAACUGUGCAUAUCUUGACGGUACCUAAUCAGAAAGCAACGGCUAACUACGUG
rnacentral:rRNA from 1 species